UGAAUUGACGGGACCGCACAAGCGGUGGAUGAUGUGGAUUAAUUCGAUGCAACGCGAAAACCUUACCUACCCUUGACAUGUCUGGAACCUUGCUGAGAGGCGAGGGUGCCUUCGGGAGCCAGAACACAGGUGCUGCAUGGCUGUCGUCAGCUCGUGUCGUGAGAUGUUCGGUUAAGUCCGCUAACGAGCGCAACCCUCACUGUGUGUUAUACGUGUCACACGGGACUGCCGGUUUUAAGCCGGAGGAAGGCGAGGAUGACGUCAAGUCAGCAUGGCCUUUAUAUCCUGGGCGACACACGUGCUACAAUGGCCGGCACAGCGGGAAGCGAGGGGGCGACCUUGAGCGGAUCCCUCAAAGCCGGUCUCAGUUCGGAUUGCAGUCUGCAACUCGACUGCAUGAAGUUGGAAUCGCUAGUAAUCGUGGAUCAGCCAAGCCGCGGUGAAUACGUUCCCGGGCCUU
rnacentral:rRNA from 1 species